rfam:Clostridium sp. CAG:264 genomic scaffold, scf26
GGAGAUAUACCCAAGUGGCUGAAGGGUCCGCUCUCGAAAAGCGGUAGGUCGGGCAACCGGCGCGAGAGUUCAAAUCUCUCUAUCUCCG